UACGUAGGCAGCAAGCGUUGUUCGGAAUUACUGGGCGUAAAGCGCGUGUAGGCGGUUUUUCAAGUCCUGUGUGAAAGCCCUGGGCUCAACCCAGGAAGUGCGCAGGAUACUGGAUGACUGGAGUGGCGGAGAGGAUGGCGGAAUUCCAGGUGUAGCGGUGAAAUGCGUAGAUAUCUGGAGGAACACCGGUGGCGAAGGCGCAUCCUGGACCGGCAUUGACGCUGAGGAGCGAAAGCCAGGGGAGCAAACGGG
rnacentral:rRNA from 1 species